UACGUAGGGGGCAAGCGUUGUCCGGAAUCAUUGGGCGUAAAGAGCGUGUAGGCGGCCCGGUAAGUCCGCUGUGAAAGUCCAGGGCUCAACCCUGGGAUGCCGGUGGAUACUGUCGGGCUCGAGUCCGGAAGAGGAGUGUGGAAUUCCUGGUGUAGCGGUGAAAUGCGCAGAUAUCAGGAGGAACACCGGUGGCGAAGGCGGCUUCCUGGACCGACACUGACGCUGAGGCGCGAAAGCUAGGGGAGCAAACGGG
rnacentral:rRNA from 1 species